rnacentral:rRNA from 1 species
UACGAAAGGGGCUAGCGUUGUUCGGAAUUACUGGGCGUAAAGCGCGCGUAGGCGGGCUAGCAAGUUGGGGGUGAAAUCCCGGGGCUCAACCUCGGAACUGCCUCCAAAACUGCUAGCCUAGAGGAUGUGAGAGGAUAGUGGAAUUCCGAGUGUAGAGGUGAAAUUCGUAGAUAUUCGGAAGAACACCAGUGGCGAAGGCGACUGUCUGGCGCAUUUCUGACGCUGAGGUGCGAAAGUGUGGGGAGCAAACAGG